UGUUGUGUGUUGUGAUCGUGUUUGUUUUCCUUUUAUGGUUUGUUUCGGUGGACGCGACCUUUUUUCUUUCUCUUCGUUUUUGCCUCAGCUCUGCAUUCUUGGGAGAGAGUUGCAGAGAGUAGGUUCUGCAUGUUGUGAUCGUGUUUGUUUUCUUUCCAUUUAGGGUUUGUUUGUUCCUUGCAUGUGACUCAUUUGGGUUUUCGGUGAUGCAAGAGUUCAUGUUAGUAACGAGAGGGAAGACGAAGAUUGGAAUUAGAUCGAGGAAAGCAGGAGAGUACUUUCUUUGGCGAUUUUGUUUUGUUGGCGAUUUCGGGUUUGUUGGAAACUCAGGAGGUGUUGGGCUCAUUGUCGCGAUCUUCUGUCUCUCUCUCUUUCUCUUCGUUUUUGGCUGGGUUCUUCGCAUGUAGAGGGAUAUAUAUUUUCACACAACAGCUGGCCUUUAAAAGAUUAGGUACUUCCAGUAAAAUAACACCAUUGCAGCUGGAAGGCUUGCUGACCGAAGGGAGCACAUCAAGACUUUGGUUGGUAAAUGUUUCCCUUGAUAUAUUUAAUGAAUGACAUGAUCAGGUUGAAUUCUGUGCUGCAUAUUCACCUUCUUGCCUUUGCAAUAGUUUACAUUAUUCUUUGGCUAUACAAAAUACUGUACUUGAUGUACAGUAAUAAUCCCCCAGAAUCUCCUGCACUGCUUUAAUUUUUCAGGUAAAAUGUUGCAUUUGGAAAAGGAAAAAAUGGACUGAAAUAUCAUGUCACUUUUUGUGUAAAUAGAAAUGGAGGCAGCAACUUUUUUGACAACCUCCACAGCUAAUCAUCACUAGGCUAACAACCUCUCAGCAACUGAUGUCACUUUUGAUAUAGUCACUAGGUUAGCCUAUAAGUAGAUCACUGUAUUUUGGAGAAGCUGUUUUAACAGCAUUUGUAAUAUAUAUUUGAACAUUACCAGAACAUCUAUAUUAAUGGUAAUGUUAGCUCCUGAUAUGGAGCAUGAAUUGAUAUAUUUUUGAGAAGCUGUUUUAACAGCAGUUGUAUUAUAUAU